UACGUAGGGCGCAAGCGUUGUCCGGAAUUAUUGGGCGUAAAGAGCUCGUAGGCGGUCUGUCGCGUCCGUUGUGAAAACUCGAGGCUCAACCUCGGGCUUGCAGUGGAUACGGGCAGACUAGAGUGCGGUAGGGGAGACUGGAAUUCCUGGUGUAGCGGUGGAAUGCGCAGAUAUCAGGAGGAACACCGAUGGCGAAGGCAGCUGGCCAACUUGUAACUGACGCUGAGGGACGAAAGUGUGGGGAUCAAACAGG
rnacentral:rRNA from 1 species